GGGUAAAGAGGGCUCCGCGCAUGCAGGAAGACCACCCUAAGGGAAGAAUCAUGGGAAAGAGGCAGAAAAUUAAAACUGGAUUGCUACCUGGUGCUUCCAUACACUGAAAAGAAAGAACACUCCAAUCUGCCAGCCUUACGAUGUUGGGAAAACGCAUCAAACAGUGCUAAGGUUUUAAGCAUGGAGAAUAUAAUCCAGUUGUAAAGCUAUUAACCCAGAAAAGAUGUCACAUGAAAGUCUGUAAAUAUGAACCACACUCUACUGCCCAGUGAUGGAGAAACCUACUGACUGUGGUGCGCAGAUUCCUAAGACGCCCUCAUGGUAUCCAUGUCCGCAUCAUCUCCUCCCCCUUGAGAGUGGGCUGAACCUGUGACUGGCCUCUAACCAACAGGCUAUCGUGAAGCAGCAAGCCUCCAUCAGUUCUGCAGCUACAAGAAAAUGAGUUCUGCCAACAACCAAGUGAGCACUGAAGAGGACCCUGAGCAUCAGAGGACAGCCUAGCCCUGGCCAAUGCCUUCAUUGCAGCACUGUGAGACCCGAACAAAAGAUCCAGCUAAUGCAUGUUCAGAAUUCUGAUUCCAGGAAACUGUGGAAUAAUAAAUGCUCCUAUGUUAAGCUGCUAA
rnacentral:lncRNA from 1 species